rnacentral:rRNA from 1 species
GGGAUAACCUCGGGAAACUGGGGAUAAUACCCCAUAGACUAUGGAUGCUGGAAUGCUUUGUAGUUGAAAGGUCCGCCGCUUCAGGAUGGGUCUGCGGCCGAUUAGGUUGUUGUUGGGGUAACGGCCCAACAAGCCUGUAAUCGGUACGGGUUGUGGGAGCAAGAGCCCGGAGAUGGAUUCUGAGACACGAAUCCAGGCCCUACGGGGCGCAGCAGGCGCGAAAACUUUACAAUGCGAGCAAUCGUGAUAAGGGAACUCCGAGUGCCUGUAAAAUCAGGCUGUCCGCCAGUGUAAAUAACUGGUGAAGAAAGGGCCGGGCAAGACCGGUGCCAGCCGCCGCGGUAAUACCGGCGGCUCGAGUGGUGGCCACUAUUACUGGGCUUAAAGCGUUCGUAGCUGGUCUGUUAAGUCUCUGGGGAAAUCUUCCGGCUUAACCGGAAGGCGUCUCAGGGAUACUGGCAGACUAGGGACCGGAAGAGGUGAGAGGUACUCCAGGGGUAGGAGUGAAAUCCUGUAAUCCUUGGGGGACCACCUGUGGCGAAGGCGUCUCACCAGGACGGCUCCGACAGUGAGGAACGAAAGCUGGGGGAGCAAAACCGGAUUAGAUACCCGGGUAGUCCCAGCUGUAAACGAUGCGCGUUAGGUGUAUCGGUGACCACGAGUCACCGAGGUGCCGAAGAGAAAUCGUGAAACGCGCCGCCUGGGAAGUACGGUCGCAAGGCUGAAACUUAAAGGAAUUGGCGGGGGAGCACCACAACGGGUGGAGCCUGCGGUUUAAUCGGACUCAACGCCGGGAAACUCACCGGACAAGACAGCUGAAUGAUAGUCGGGCUGAAGACUCUACUUGACUAGCUGAGAGGAGGUGCAUGGCCGUCGUCAGUUCGUACUGUGAAGCAUCCUGUUAAGUCAGGCAACGAGGCGAGACCCACGCCAACAGUUGCUAGCUCGUCCUCCGGGAUGGAGAGGACACUGUUGGGACCGCCUCUGCUAAAGAGGAGGAAGGAAUGGGCAACGGUAGGUCAGCAUGCCCCGAAUUGUCCGGGCUACACGCGGGCUACAAUGGGUGGGACAAUGGGUAUCGACACCGAAAGGUGAAGGCAAUCUCCUAAACCCAUCCUUAGUUCGGAUCGUGGGCUGUAACUCGC